CUGCAUGGCUGUCGUCAGCUCGUGUCGUGAGAUGUUGGGUUAAGUCCCGCAACGAGCGCAACCCUUGUCAUUAGUUUGCUACAUUUAGUUGGGGUCACUCUAAUGAGACUGCCGGUGACAAACCGGAGGAAGGUGGGGAUGACGUCAAGUCCUCAUGGCCCUUAUAGGUAGGGCUACACACGUCAUACAAUGGAUGGUACAAAGGGUCGCCAACCCGCGAGGGGGAGCCAAUCCCAUAAAACCAUUCGUAGUCCGGAUCGCAGUCUGCAACUCGACUGCGUGAAGUCGGAAUCGCUAGUAAUCGUGGAUCAGAAUGUCACGGUGAAUACGUUCCCGGGUCUU
rnacentral:rRNA from 1 species